rnacentral:rRNA from 1 species
GACGGAGGGUGCUAGCGUUGUUCGGAAUUACUGGGCGUAAAGGGCGCGUAGGCGGCCUGAUCAGUCGGGUGUGAAAGCCCGGGGCUCAACCCCGGAACGGCACCCGAGACGGUCAGGCUGGAGACCGGGAGAGGAGGGUGGAAUAGCCAGUGUAGAGGUGAAAUUCGUAGAUAUUGGCUGGAACACCGGUGGCGAAAGCGGCUCUCUGGCCCGGUUCUGACGCUGAGGCGCGAAAGCGUGGGGAGCAAACAGG